GGUCCCAAGGGUUUGGCUGUUCGCCAAUUAAAGCGGUACGCGAGCUGGGUUCAGAACGUCGUGAGACAGUUCGGUCCCUAUCUGUUGCGGGCGUAGGAUAUUUAAGGGGAGCUGUCCCUAGUACGAGAGGACCGGGACGGACGAACCUCUGGUGUUCCAGUUGUCGUGCCAACGGCAUCGCUGGGUAGCCACGUUCGGAAGGGAUAACCGCUGAAAGCAUCUAAGUGGGAAGCCCACCUCAAGAUAAGAUAUCCCUCUCGAUGGAGACAUCGAGACUGAAGACCCCUCAGAGACUAUGAGGUUGAUAGGUCAGAGGUGUAAGUACGGUAACGUAUUUAGCUAACUGAUACUAAUUGGUCGUGAGGCUUGGCCAU
rnacentral:rRNA from 1 species